AUUGAACGCUGGCGGCAGGCCUAACACAUGCAAGUCGAGCGGAUGAAGGGAGCUUGCUCCUGGAUUCAGCGGCGGACGGGUGAGUAAUGCCUAGGAAUCUGCCUGGUAGUGGGGGAUAACGUCCGGAAACGGGCGCUAAUACCGCAUACGUCCUGAGGGAGAAAGUGGGGGAUUUUCGGACCUCACGCUACCAGAUGAGCCUAGGUCGGAUUAGCUAGUUGGUGGGGUAAAGGCCUACCAAGGCGACGAUCCGUAACUGGUCUGAGAGGAUGAUCAGUCACACUGGAACUGAGACACGGUCCAGACUCCUACGGGAGGCAGCAGUGGGGAAUAUUGGACAAUGGGCGAAAGCCUGAUCCAGCCAUGCCGCGUGUGUGAAGAAGGUCUUCGGAUUGUAAAGCACUUUAAGUUGGGAGGAAGGGCAGUAAGUUAAUACCUUGCUGUUUUGACGUUACCAACAGAAUAAGCACCGGCUAACUUCGUG
rnacentral:rRNA from 1 species